CGGGGAGCAUGGCCGAGCCCGGGGCGGGGGACGCGGCGGGGGCGCCGCCGCCGCGGGUGGGCGCGUGGGUGCCCGUGCUGGUGGAGCAGAUGGUGAACGACACGCUGGUGGUGACGCUGAGCUGCGGGGAGCGCCGCUUCACCGGCGUGCUGCUGGACUGCUCCAAGAGGUCUGGAUUGUUCUGCCUGCCAUCCUCCUUCCCCAAGCACGAGGAGCCCCCGGCCGGCGCCUGCGCUAACGGGGCCGCUGCCGCGCGGGGCGAGCCGCAGCCGCGGCCCGCGGGCGCCCAGCCUGCCGAGGGCAGCGCGGAGGAGCCGGUGCCGCCGCUGCUGCCGGCGCCGGGCAGCCUGCCGCCCUUCCCGCCCUACUUCGAGGGAGCCCCGUUCCCCCGGCCCCUGUGGCUGCGGCACACCUACAACCAGUGGGUCCCGCAGCCGCCGCCACGGACUAUAAAGAGGACGAGGAGGCGCUUGUCGCGCAACAGGGACCCGGGCAGGCUCAUCAUGAGCACCAUCAGGCUGCGGCCCAGGCAGGUGCUCUGCGAGAAGUGCAAGAACACGCUGAACCCCGAGGAUGCCAACGCGCCGCGGCAGAACGCCAAGACCAGGAGGAAGCUGAGCAUUCAGGACAAGGAGCAGAAGAAGCACAGCGACUCUGACUACGUGGAGAAAAGGAACAAAAGAGAGAAGAGGGAGGAUGACAAGUUUUCUGGGGAGCUGGUGCAUCGAACGCCAGUUAUAAAAAUAUCCUACAGUACUCCACAAGGGAAGGGUGAAGUGGUAAAAAUCCCUUCCCGGGUUCAUGGCUCGGUCAAACCGUUCUGUCCGGAGCAAGCGUUGCAGAACGGAGCCGGGGACCAAGAGGAGAGCAGGGACUCUGAACGGUGUCGACAAACCAAAUGUUUAAUGGACAAGUCAGCAGGCAGCCAGCUUGCUUCCAUUCCAAAACUGAAGCUCACACGGCCAGUGCAUUCCAGUGUGGAUGUCCCACCCCCAAAGAUACGGCUGAAGCCCCAUCGCAUCAACGAUGGUCAGAGUGUUUCAAUUUAUAAGGCAGAACUGAUUGAUGAAAUCAAUGUCCUCCAGAACAGCAGGGAGUCCAAUCCCGAAGCGUUUUACAAUGAUGAGUCCACCGACAGAAGUUUGGCUGAGAUAUCUUCAGGCAGUUCAGGUGAAGAUGAUGACUUCAAAAGGUUUCCCCAGGGUAAAGAUGGACAUGAUAACUUGGCUUUCCUCAUGAAUUACCGUAAAAGAAAAGCAGAUUCUUCUAGUUUAUCGGUGUGUAGCAAUGACAGUCUAGAUGAAUCCAAGUCUUCUAGUUCAGAGGUGACAUCACCAGAACUGUGUGACUUUUUACCUGGUGAUGAUGCCUCCGUCUCUUCAUCUUCAAAAGAUGAGCGUAAAAUCGUGCCACCACUGACAGUCAGGCUGCACACCCAGAGUGUGUCUAAAUGUGUUACAGAAGAUGGAAGGACUGUUUCAGUGGGGGAUAUUGUCUGGGGUAAAAUUCACGGGUUUCCGUGGUGGCCCGCACGUGUUCUUGACAUCAACCUCAGCCAGAAGGAAAAUGGGGAACCAUCGUGGCGAGAAGCUAAAGUGUCGUGGUUUGGUUCUCCAACAACCUCGUUCUUAUCUGUUUCAAAACUCUCUCCUUUCUCGGAGUUUUUCAAACUGAGGUUUAAUCGCAAGAAGAAGGGCAUGUACCGGAAAGCGAUCACGGAAGCUGCGAAGGCAGUCAAGCACCUGACUCCAGAAAUACGAGAUCUCUUAACACAGUUUGAGACAUAACUUUGCCUCCAGUAUCAGGUGAGAAUGGAAACAUGAGAGCUGAUUCUUCGUAAUGUAUGGAUUUCCCUUUCGCAUCAAACAGUCUGCCUGGGAUGAAAAUCUGGUACCAAAAAAUACAGGAUGUGGCAUGACUGGGAAUACAAGUUCAUGGGAAAAUCCAGUGACUUGGAUGAAACCUGCAGUCGUUUCACAACCUUUCAGUCAUCACUGUCCAGACAAGACCUCAGCUGUGAUGGUAUUAGAUAAGGGUGGGAUUAACUUUUUUUUUGUCAAAAAACGGAGGUAUCACUGGGCCUUGUGUCAAAGACCAUGCUUUAUGCAGAGGGGAUUGUUAUGUUGUCCCCUGAAUGCUGUGCUCUGUUUCAUGCUUGAAGGACUCUGUGUGAGCAAGCCAGUGCUGCUCCUCUGGACUUUCUUCAUUAUCUGAGCUGUCAUAAUGCAGUGGGACUGGGACUGUCAGUGCUCAUGUAGUCCUGAUGGGAAAAUGGGAUUUUUUUCAUACCCUUGUCAUGGGACUUAGCCCCUUGCUUGAGUGUGAUGAAGGACUUGCUUUGCUUGGGUUAUGACUCCAUCUCAGCAAGCCUGGCUGGAGCAACUAACCAGGGCAUGACAUAUUCAUGCUGUGUACUCAGGGUGUCUGGACAACCACAGCAGCAACAUUUCAGCUUCCCUCAUCAUCUUGCCCAUACGACUGCUGCUUAACUCUGGCUAAGGACUUUAUUAUAUCAAGAGUGUUUGGAUUGGACCCAAAUUCCUAUUAGCUAGAUCAGGAGUAUAAAUAAACCUGCUGCCCAGAAUGUACUGUCCUUGCCAGUGGAAGAGUCCUGGCCAAUCCAUGGCUCCUGUCUGGACAGUGCUCUGGUUAAAGGAGCAGCAAACUUCGUCUUCUGAGCUCUCUUCACUGUGUGUGUGAGCAGUUUGGGACAAAGGUGAGGAAUGUCACCAUCGUUCCUGACAUCUGUCCUUGCCCUUGUGGGUCCUGGAUGGCCGGCAUGGCCCAGCUGCAGGAGAAGGGGCAACUGGAGGAAGCACCUAGUGCUCAGAUCAGACAGACUGGCUGUGCCUGUCAGUCCCUGGGGAGAGGGAAAGCUGUGGCCAGGAGGAGUCCCGAGCCCGGAGCUGGAAGUCAGAAGGGGAGGAGGCUUUCCCCUGCAUGCUGGCCCCCAGAGAACGCUGGCUGCUGGCCCCAGCAGGAGCUGGCCACGAUGGGGCACAGGCUGCAGGGCAGGGCCUCGAGGAGGAGAAGAGCCCUUGCUCCUGAGACACGAUGGGACCUGAGCUACAGGUACACAGCAGGCUGUGACUGUGGAACCAUUAAACUUGCAGAUGUUGAAGGCUUUCAUUUUAACUGCUAUGAGUUUAAUAGACCUCAGUGUCAGUACAUCAAGCCAUCUAUCACACUGCUGCUGUGUGCAGCAAACUCUGGGCUGGCUGCAUGCUCACUGUCUAUAGAAACCACUAAUGUAAAACCUGGAGUAUCACGUUGUGACUUCACCUUCAAAGGUGUUCAGGGCUCUGUGUGUCUGUCCAGCCAGUGCUGCUGCCCACAGUUUGUGAAACAGCAUAAAUCCCUCCAUAGCUGUAUUUUCUAACACCUGCCUGAGCACAUGGAGUAUUUCAGUGCAGAAGAUGAAUGCUUGAGAUUUUUCUUGUCCUGCUUUCCAGAUUCUUCGGUCCACUAAAACCAGGCAUCCAACUUAAUUACUGUUUCACAGUCUUCCUGCUUGGAAGUCAGCGUCUCUGCAUGCUAAUACAAGGUGGGAGAGCAAGUCCAGAAUAGACUGUGCUGCAUUUUUGUGUGCCCAGCGCUGAUGGUUGGAGCUGCACCUCAGGUGCCAUCCUGCUGAACUGCCCGUUCCAAAAGCGCUUGCCCUUUGUGCCCAGGGGCUACCCUGUGCUGCCAGCCGUGGCCCCUCUCCAUCCACCCUGCUCCCAGGAAAUUCUGUGGAAAUGCCACUGGGCCAUACAUUGUGCUAUUUCUAACUGCACCUGCGCCGCGCCGGUGCCGGGAAUGCGAUCGGCUUUCAGAGCUGUAACUUCAGCUGCUGGAGGAGACUGGAUCCCCCCAAGGGCUUAGCAGCUCCCUUGGGAGCAGCGAGCUGCUCCGGGCCUGAGGGUCUGCAAGUGCCAGUGCUGCCAAGCGUGCCCACAGUGGCAGGGCAGGUGGGUGUCCCCAGCAGUGUCACCAGCCCACAGUGCCCCCACUGCCUGGAGGGUCCAUCCACACAGCAUCGAGGGCUGUGCCAGGGUCUCAGGGCAGGAAAUGGGAGAGAUGUGUGGACAAAGAACCUGGAAAUUGUUUACUCUGAGAACUUACAAAUAAAGUAAAAACAGAAUUUGUG